AAAUGAAUUGACGGGGGCCCGCACAAGCAGCGGAGCAUGUGGCUUAAUUCGAAGCAACGCGAAGAACCUUACCAGCGCUUGACAUUAUGGUGAAGCCGGGGAGACCCGGUGGCCGAGAGGAGCCAUAACAGGUGGUGCAUGGCUGUCGUCAGCUCGUGUCGUGAGAUGUUGGGUUAAGUCCCGCAACGAGCGCAACCCCCGUCGCGUGUUGCCAGCGGUUCGGCCGGGCACCCGCGCGAGACCGCCGGCGUCAAGCCGGAGGAGGGUGGGGACGACGUCAAGUCAUCAUGCCCCUUAUGCGCUGGGCCGCACACGUGCUACAAUGGCCGGCACAACGGGCUGCCACGCCGCAAGGCGGAGCGAAUCCCCAAAGCCGGCCCCAGUUCGGACCGGGGGCUGCAACCCGCCCCCGCGAAGUCGGAGUUGCUAGUAAUCGCGGAUCAGCACGCCGCGGUGAAUGCGUUCCCGGGCCUUGUACACACCGCCCGU
rnacentral:rRNA from 1 species